UCUGUUCACGGAGCCCUACUGCCUGCCCCUGUUACUGCCUCAUCCCAGACCCUGGGUUGAGUCUGCUGCGAGAAGCCCUGGUUGAGGCUGAGGACACAUCUAACAAGGAGGACACAGCACAGCACAAACGCACACCACCACAGGACACAACCUGACGACAGCAGACAGAGAGAGGCCGUACUCGGUCUUUGCUGGUGCAGGCGAAACAGAGCUGUCUGCAGUGGAAGGAGCAAGCUCAGGGGCUUGUCCACUGGCCCCAGCGGCGGGAGCAGGAGAGCCCAGGGCUGCAAAAACAUCCUUUGCAAGGUGCUGUUGGAGGAGCAGUAUCUGGACCAUCAGCUAAAUGAGGACAGAAAUUUUUAUCUGUUUCAUUCCUGUUGUAACCUAGAGUCUGGGAACAGUGCCUCGCCCUUACUAGCUGCUGGAGUUUCCAAGUGGAGAAAGUGAAGCUGAGGGAAAGGUCACUACAGGCACCAGCAGAUGGCUCAGAGGUUGACGGCGAUGCACAUAAGUAGGCCACACUUGUUCAGGAAGUAGCAGGUGAUGUCCACGACCACCAGGAGCAGCACGAAGAUGACAAUGAGGAUGCCCACGAUGGCCCCGGUGCUCAGGCCUGAGAGGGAGGGAUGAUAGCCUCAUCUCAUCCAGGGGACAGGGACGUGGAGCUCCUGUCAAGAUGAGAGUGGGGCCUGGAAGCCAAAUCUCCACCUCAGCCCUCAACUUCUGAGCCUCCCCUGGAGCCAUGCACAAUUGGCCUCCUGGGUUCCUUACCCAGGCACUGUAGCGCUGCCCCAACAGCAGUGCUACUCCACUACCAGCCCAACACGCCUGAGGACCACUCACAACCUAUUCUUCUGGGUAUAAUACAUGGGGCCUGAGCUGAAGGAGAAUUUCUAGCUUGCAAAUGUUUUUGGCCCCUCUGGGACAUUGGCUUGCUUCCCAGCCUUUCCUCCUUGGCUCUCUGGCUGAUCCUUUCCAACACUACUCUAAAGAUUCCAUCCCAUCUCCCAGGAAGGCCCAAGACUAGCAAGGAUUCAGCUACCUGUCUCUGGGCUUUGGCAGCAGGAAAUUAGCUGCUGACCACAGCUGUCAGCUAGAAUGGGUCAUUUUCUCAGCAGUCAGCUAAUGCAGAGGCUCUUCUGGUUGGUUGAACGAGAACAAAGCCAUCUCUCUAUCCCCAUCCCUCUACAUUCCACUCCAAAAGCAAAGAAAGAUGCAGGCCAUCCUGAUCUUUAGGAUCCCAAGCUGUUUCCUGGGAUGGGGAAUUCACUAUCGCCUAUCUAUCAUGACGCUGGCCUUGAAGCCACUGCAGCAUCCUGACAGCAACACCGGGUCGGUGGGAAGUGCCCAUUUCCUGAAGAAGGAGUGCUUCUCUGUGUGCAGGAUAGGACAGCUUCUGCUCUGGGUUCAUCAGAUCCAGCUAAGAACAUUUGAGAAAAGCACCUGGACUGACCCUGACCCUGACCCUGACCUGACUCACAGAAUAUGCUCCCCGCACAACAUAUUUAUUGCAUGGAUGAGAAACAUAAACAACAUUUAAAUCAAUGAUUCUCCACCUGCAGUGGAAUUCCUGGGGUUCUGGUUAAAAACUGAGAAUCUGGGGCUCCCUAAGUCUUUGAAAUCAGAAUCACUGGGGAUAGGCUCAGGAAUCAGGAUUUGAGCAAGUUCUCCAGAAGGUACCUGGGGACCACCAUUCCUAGGUCGUCCCUCUCCUGAAUCACACUGAAUCACAGCUGAUCCUAUGAUCCAUCAUCAAGGAGGAGCUAUGCCUCUUGCCCUGAUGUUUUGGCAGAAUGGACUUGGCCUGAUGUACUGGAUAGACUGAGAAAAAGUAGACUCUUCCCUAAAACCAAGGAGCCACUCAGCCCAGCACUGCUAUGAACCAAGGAUCUAGAGCAAGUGCGGUGCUCAAGUUGUGGGGAGGAUGCUGGCCUCGUUUACAAAAAGAACCGUAAAUGAGGGAUAGGCUGCAGCAUAGAAGAAGGGGUAGUCAAGGCAAGUCAGCAUUUAUUCCCCGUUGGUGGAUGUCACAGGACUGUUCAGUCCAGGAAAGCUAGAGGGACAAGUCAUCUCCUGCAUCUCAUAAAAGGAAAAAUACAAAACCUUCAGGGGUCUGUCUUUGCCACCAUCUUCCCCUGACCUCCUUGACUAACUCACCAGUGCGCCUUCAUACUAACAUGGCUUCUUGGAAGCAGCCUCCCCACAUCCUGGGCAGUGAGAUUGCCAGGCUGUUUGUCUUCUGUGGUUCCUGGUUUGGGAGAGGGUGUUACUUAACUGGGAACUGACUUGCCCCAAGACUGAGACCCGCAGACACUUCCUUUCUUAUGUUUUAAAUUGGGAACAUGGCUCUCAUGCCUUACAGAUGCCUGGGUGAACCAGAGUCAUUGUGCCAUGGGAUGUGGGUGCAGAUGUUCCCUCUCUGUCACUUAACCCUCCACAUGACUGUCAGAUUCUCAGAAUAGUUGAGCUGGAGUCUGGUUCACUCAUAAAAUGCUACAUGUCUGCUUGCUCCUUCCUGGAACUUGUUACCCAGACAGCCGGUCUCAGGGGCCUUUGAGAGGUAUCUGAGUGUGAUUACAAACAGAAUGUAGUUGGUCAAAGAGGACCUUCUUUCAUUUCUAUCUCAAGAUCCCUGUGCAGUCUCCAUUAGGGGUAAAGGUUGCUGUGUAAUUGGAGGACCUUGUUACAGAGUUAUGCAUCUAGUGGCUCAGACCGUGCCCCUGUCCCCAGAGCAACCACCUCCUCAGUUCUGCAAAGGAAUUUUCCCCUCCUCUGCCUGCUGAGGAUUUUAAGGCAGUAGCGGGCCUUGUAGGAUAGCUGAGAAAACCAGUGCUCCGCAUGAGGGAGGAAAGAAGCUCCUUUGACUACAACACCACGGAUGUGAGGUCCAAUUUAAAUGUCUCUCUAGGUAAUUGGUUAUCAUGUGAGAUGGAGGGAAAGGGCUUUUGAUACUUUGUUGGACACACAACUAUUAAAUAAAAUUGAAACACGCUGGA